GACGAACGCUGGCGGCGUGCUUAACACAUGCAAGUCGAGCGAGAAAGGGGGGGGCAACUCCCCUGAGUAAAGCGGUGCACGGGUGAGUAACGCGUGGGUAACCUACCUCCAGGCGGGGGAUAACUACUCGAAAGGGUGGCUAAUACCGCAUGAGACCACGGGGUCCUCGGACCUUGAGGCCAAAGGCUGCGCCGGCUUGCCGGUGUAGUCACCAGGAGAUGGGCCCGCGUCCGAUUAGCUAGUUGGUGAGGUAACGGCUCACCAAGGCGACGAUCGGUAGCUGGUCUGAGAGGAUGAUCAGCCACACUGGAACUGGAACACGGUCCAGACUCCUACGGGAGGCAGCAGUGAGGAAUAUUGCGCAAUGGGGGAAACCCUGACGCAGCAACGCCGCGUGGGUGAAGAAGGCCUUCGGGUCGUAAAGCCCUUUCGGACGGGACGAACGUUCCGCGGGGUCAAGCCGCGGAAUCUGACGGUACCGUAAGAAGAAGCACCGGCUAACUCCGUGCCAGCCGCCGCCGUAACAC
rnacentral:rRNA from 1 species